UACGGGGGGGGCAAGCGUUGUUCGGAAUUACUGGGCGUAAAGAGCUCGUAGGCGGCCAACUAAGUCGGAUGUGAAAUCCCCAGGCUUAACCUGGGAACUGCAUCCGAUACUGGAUGGCUUGAAUCCGGGAGAGGGAUGCAGAAUUCCAGGUGUAGCGGUGAAAUGCGUAGAUAUCUGGAGGAAUACCGGUGGCGAAGGCGGCAUCCUGGACCGGCAUUGACGCUGAUGAGCGAAAGCUAGGGGAGCAAACGGG
rnacentral:rRNA from 1 species